UUGGGAAUCUUGGACAAUGGGGGAAACCCUGAUCCAGCCAUGCCGCGUGAGUGAUGAAGGCCUUAGGGUUGUAAAACUCUUUCGGCGGGGACGAUAAUGACGGUACCCGCAGAAGAAGCUCCGGCUAACUUCGUGCCAGCAGCCGCGGUAAUACGAAGGGGGCUAGCGUUGUUCGGAAUUACUGGGCGUAAAGCGCGCGCAGGCGGCCUUUCAAGUCAGUGGUGAAAGCCCGGAGCUCAACUCCGGAACUGCCAUUGAAACUGUUUGGCUUGAGUACGAGAGAGGUGAGUGGAAUUCCCAGUGUAGAGGUGAAAUUCGUAGAUAUUGGGAAGAACACCGGUGGCGAAGGCGGCUCACUGGCUCGUAACUGACGCUCAGGCGCGACAGCGUGGGGAUCAAACAGGAUUAGAUACCCUGGUAGUCCACGCCAUAAACUAUGAACGCUAGCCGUUAGGCAGCUUGCUGCUUAGUGGCGCAGCUAACGCAUUAAGCGUUCCGCCUGGNGNGUACGGCCGCAAGGUUG
rnacentral:rRNA from 1 species